rnacentral:lncRNA from 1 species
CAUAUCCCCUGCGCACUGUCCGGAGCACUCCUUCCCUUCCCUGGUUCCUCAAGGCACGGCUCCCCCAGGCAGAUGAAAGCUUAAUAGAGUUUUGCGACAUGAAAGUCAGUCGGAGGAAAGAGCCUUGAACAGUUGUGCGUGAGAGAGAGGCAAGCGCCCGAAAUUAUUUUACGACAAAGGCAGCUCUCUCUGCCACAGAGGCACAGAGGAGAAAGGAGCCCAGGAAACGGGUCAUUUCUUUCGUGGAAAAAUGGAAAUGCUCUGAAGCAUUUUGGGAGACGUGCUGUGAAGCAGGUGACACCAGAAGACAAGGACACUGGGGGCUCCCUGCCGGGAGGCGCAAAAAGCAACUCCCGUUCGAGGGUCAGAGGAGCCUGGAUGCUAAUGUCUCUCCAAAGUGACUUGGAGCCAACUGCCGGAAAGGCCAUGCCCUUAGGAGCACAGGCAGGUCCCAGCUCAGGUGAGGAACGUGAGCUUGGGGAGGCAGAGGACAAAGCCUGGCCUGCAAGACACUGAGCUUCACCUCUUCCAGGAGGACGACAUCAUCACCAUUUCUCAGAUGAGGAAACUGAGGCUCAGAGAGAUGCAGUGACCCACCAAGGCUGAGUGCAGGAAUGUUGGCCCUCAGCAUCCACCCUGGGCCCUGCAUUGCCCUGGUUGUCUAUGUGGCCCCAGCCCUCCUGGGCCAUUUUGAUCUGUUUUGUGCAUUUGGGGCACGUGUAUGAGAGCAUGUUUGGAGAACUAUGCUUUAUAGCAAGAAGGUUUGAAAUCACCA